rnacentral:rRNA from 1 species
AGGACGAACGCUGGCGGCGCGCCUAACACAUGCAAGUCGAGCGAUAACCAGGGCUUGCCCUGGGGACAGCGGCGAACGGGUGCGUAACACGUGAGCAACCUGCCCCAAAGACCGGGACAACCCGAGGAAACUCGGACUAAUACCGGAUGCCCUCACCGGGUCGCAUGGUCUGGUGAGGAAAUGGAUUCCGCUUUGGGAUGGGCUCGCGGUCUAUCAGCUUGUUGGUGGGGUAACGGCCUACCAAGGCGACGACGGAUAGCUGGUCUGAGAGGACGAUCAGCCACACUGGGACUGAGACACGGCCCAGACUCCUACGGGAGGCAGCAGUGGGGAAUCUUGCGCAAUGGGGGAAACCCUGACGCAGCGACGCCGCGUGCGGGAUGAAGGCCUUCGGGUUGUAAACCGCUUUCAGCAGGGACGAAAUUGACGGUACCUGCAGAAGAAGGCCCGGCCAACUACGCGCCAGCAGCCGC